CACGUAGGGUGCGAGCGUUGUCCGGAAUUAUUGGGCGUAAAGAGCUCGUAGGCGGUGUGUCGCGUCGGCCGUGAAAACCUGCAGCUUAACUGUGGGCUUGCGGUCGAUACGGGCAUCACUGGAGUUCGGGCAGGGGAGACUGGAAUUCCUGGUGUAGCGGUGAAAUGCGCAGAUAUCAGGAGGGAACACCGGUGGGCGAAGGCGGGUCUCUGGGCCGA
rnacentral:rRNA from 1 species